rnacentral:rRNA from 1 species
UCCGUAGGUGAACCUGCGGAAGGAUCAUUACCGAGAUUGUUAGUUAACUCUGACGACUCCCCACCCUUGUGUAUAUAUGCUGAAAAGCAGCUUCGGCGGGCCGUCAAGCCUCCUGCGGGAGGGGCGACGUCGGCUCAUUGCGAGCGGAUCCGCGCCUGCCGAAGGACCACACUCUUUGAAUCAUUUGAAGUCUGAUACAAACUUGAUAAAUCAAUCAAAACUUUCAACAACGGAUCUCUUGGUUCUGGCAUCGAUGAAGAACGCAGCGAAAUGCGAUAAGUAAUGUGAAUUGCAGAAUUCAGCGAAUCAUCGAAUCUUUGAACGCACAUUGCGCCUCCGGGUAUUCCUGGAGGCAUGCCUGUUCGAGCGUCGUUUAAGACUAUGAGGCUUUGCCUUGCGAUGAGCCUUCGAAUUCUCCCCUGGGAGGUUUGAUCGCUUCAAACCCAUUGGCGUCUGAAGUUAGCCUGAGCACAGCAAAAUGUGUCUUGUGGGUUAAAUGUGACGAUUGCCGGUAACUCGAAAAACAAAUCAUCUGGAGGUCGGACCUCCGGGGGAUCAGGGCAAGGAUUACCCGCUGAACUUAAGGCAUAUCAAUAAGGCGGGGAGGGGGAAGGGUCGGACUGGCCAAGGGCACACAGGGGAUA